rnacentral:rRNA from 1 species
AUUGAACGCUGGCGGCAUGCUUUUACACAUGCAAGUCGAGCGGCAGCGCGGGACUCGGGCAACUGAGCUCUGGCGGCGAGCGGCGGACGGGUGAGUAAUGCAUCGGAACGUAUCCCGUAGUGGGGACAACCCAGCGAAAGCUGGGCUAAUACCGCAUAUGCUCUACGGAGGAAAGUGGGGGACUCGCAAGGGCCUCACGCUAUGGGAGCGGCCGAUGUCCGAUUAGCUAGUUGGUGGGGUAAGGGGCUUACCAAGGCGACGAUCGGUAGCUGGUCUGAGAGGAUGAUCAGCCACGCUGGGACUGAGACACGGCCCAGACUCCUACGGGAGGCAGCAGUGGGGAUUUUUGGACAAAUGGGGCAACCCUGAUCCAGCCAUGCCGCGUGCGGGAAGAAGGCCUCGG